CCCUUAGAUGUUCUGGGCCGCACGCGUGCUACACUGACCGGCGCAGCAAGUUUCUUUCCUUGGCUCGAUAGGCCUGGGUAAUCUUUGAACGCCGGUCGUGAUGGGGAUAGAUCCUUGCAAUUUUUGAUCUUCAACGAGGAAUUCCUAGUAAAUGCGAGUCAUCAUCUCGCGUUGAUUACGUCCCUGCCCUUUGUACACACCGCCCGUCGCACCUACCGAUUGAAUGGUCCGGUGAAGCCUCGGGAUUGCGAAUGCUUCGUGCGGACGCGAGAACUUGGCUAAACCUUACCAUUUAGAGGAAGGUGAAGUCGUAACA
rnacentral:rRNA from 1 species